rnacentral:rRNA from 1 species
UACAGCCAGUACGAGUGGUGUCCACGAAUAUUGAGUCUAAAGCGUGUGUAUCCGGUUUGAAUAGUUUCCUGUGAAAUCUUUGCUUUUAACGCAGAGGCGUGCAGGGAAUACUUUCAAGCUAGAGAGUGGGGGAGGUGUGGGGUACGUAAGGGGGAACGGUUAAAUGUUUUAAUCCUUUACGGACCACCAGUGGCGAAGGCGUCACACCAAAACACGUCUGACGGUGAGACACGAAGGCUAGGGGAGCAAACCGGAUUAGAUACCCGGGUAGUCCUAGCAGUAAAUCAUGCAGAUUUGGCGUUGCACUCGCUUUGAGCGGGUGCAGUGUCGUAGGGAAGCUGUUUAAUCUGCCACUUGGGGAGUACGAUUGCAAGAUUGAAACUUAAAGGAAUUGGCGGGAGAGCACCACAAGGGGUGGAUGCUGCGGUUCAAUUGGAGUCAACGCCGGGAAACUUACCAGGAAAGACAGCAGAAUGAAGUUCGAGCUGAAGACUUUAGCUGACAAGCUGAGAAGUGCUGCAUGGCCAGCGUCAGCUCGUGCCGUGAGGUGUCAGGUUAAGUCCUGCAACGAGCGAGAUCCUUGUCUACAGUUGCAAUCUUUAUCGCGAGAUGAAGAGCACUCUGUAGAGACUGCCCGCGUUAAGUGGGAGGAAGGAAAGGGCGACGCUAGGUCAGUAUGGCCUGAAUUUCCUGGGCCACACGUGGCAUACAAUGGUCAAGACAACGAGUUCCGACGCCGAAAGGUGAAGGUAAUCUCUAAAACUUGGCCCAAGUUCGAAUUGAGGGCUGAAACUCGUCCUCAUGAAGCUGGAAUCCCUAGUAAUCGCGUGUCAUCAAUCUCAACCGCAACUCAGCGAAAAAUUUUAAUAUACUAACCGUUAAUAAACGGCAAUUUAACUAAGACAGAAGAGCUUAUUCUGUCUCAGGAAUUUGAUAAAUUAGUUUAUAAUUCGCCUUUAGACAAAUCAUUGUUUUCGUAAAUGGGUUGUUGUUGGAAGUGAAUUCGCGCGGUGAAUAUGUCCCUGCUCUU